AACGAACGCUGGCGGCAUGCCUAACACAUGCAAGUCGAACGAGACCUUCGGGUCUAGUGGCGCACGGGUGCGUAACGCGUGGGAACCUGCCCUUAGGUUCGGAAUAACUCCCCGAAAGGGGUGCUAAUACCGGAUAAUGUCUUCGGACCAAAGAUUUAUCGCCUUUGGAUGGGCCCGCGUUGGAUUAGCUAGUUGGUAGGGUAAAAGCCUACCAAGGCGACGAUCCAUAGCUGGUCUGAGAGGAUGAUCAGCCACACUGGGACUGACACGGCCCAGACUCCUACGGGAGGGAGCAGUGGGGAAUAUUGGACAAUGGGCGAAAGCCUGAUCCAGCAAUGCCGCGUGAGUGAUGAAGGCCUUAGGGUUGUAAAGCUCUUUUACCCGGGAUGAUAAUGACAGUACCGGGAGAAUAAGCUCCGGCUAACUCCGUG
rnacentral:rRNA from 1 species